GGUAAGUUAUGUGUUGUCAUGCUAACGUUAUCCGAUGGUCUUGUUGGAAUACCGGUAACUGUUAGCCUUAUUGUAACCAUGGUAAUGUUAGCUAACGUUAACCUUUUUGUAACCAGGAAUUGGGGUGAGCGAUUCGGUGCGAGGUGUGGGCCGCAGGGAUGGUUGGAGCAGGG